UCUAGGUGUAAACUUGACGUUACUUCGUUAAUUAAGGCAUUAUAAAUAUAACUAGUCCGUUUAAAGCACGAGGGAACCCAGCGUCAUCUUUAAACACAAACAAAGCGAGGGGGAAGCGAGAAAUAAAAAGCACUAUAAGGCUGGGGUGGCCUCUUACGCAUACCAAUGGUUUUUGUCAUUUAUGGCUAUGCAAGAUUUAUGACUUCGUGCACCAAAGCUGUAAACAGAGCACUAAAACAGAAAACACUUGCUCCUUAUGGCAUAAGUGAGAAGGCACCACAUGAAAGGGGAAGCGGCCAGCGUAGGAGGAGAGAAGAGGCAAAAAUCCUUCGUAUGCGUUUUGCUUCAAACAAUCCUGUGAAUGUUGCUUUGGAAGAAAAAAAAAAAAAAAAAAGUCUUUUUAGUCAAUAAUCAACCCCACACUUUCUUCUGAAACUGCUGAUCUGCCAUUCGCCCACUUGCCCGGCCAAAUACUCAGAGGCAGCGCUGCGCCCCGACGGAGCCCCCCGGACUGGCGAGGAGGAUUUGGACAGGGAGAGAAAAGAUGGGGACUGCCGAAACCUGCGGACACCGGGGAGCCUCCCUGUUUGGGGGGCCCCGCCGAAAGCCGGCCGAGUUUUUCCUAGGAGCGCGUUUCAACUUGGGAGCCAUCUCCAGCGGGAUAUUCUGACUAAAUAUGCCCAUUCAGAGAAGCAGAAUAAACCUCCACAUUUUCAAGGCUGAUUUAUUGUUAGGAGCCGUGCCUGGCUCUUGGUUCAGCUCCUUCUCACCGCGGAGAAAUAAAGAGGAGCGCCUUGGCUCAUUUGGGAAGGGGAAGCUUUGCCAUGGAGCUGAGCACUCAUGCAGCGCUACUCGCACAAUAAACAAAGUACCACUAAAGCAUCAUAAAUAAAAUGGCAGCACGAUCGCACAGUCAUCGAUUUACGGAGCGGCAGCGGCCGAACAAACACCCAUAAAACAACAACCACCGCCGCACACUCGAGCACGACCCCGACCGAGGAGCAUCACACACCCCCCACAUCGUUUUCUCCGGCUUGCCCAAAUACGUAAAUAAAUAAACACACAAACACACAAAUAAAAUAAUAGAAUAAAAUGAAGGGGGGAAAUAUUCAAACACGACAGUAAAAGAGGCUUCCCAUCUCUAGCCGGUCAUAAAUAAUGUUAAAAUGGCAAUCGAGGGGCUGUAGCGGAGGCAGCUGGCCAUCAACAGCAGUGUGGGAUCUCUAUGGAGAAAAAUAAAUAAAGAAGCAAACUCUGCCUGCUCUGCUCGCUGCAAGGGUAGAGUUGAAUAUUUACCACAGCAAAUUGAAACAAAGGGGGAAGCAGCCUGGCUCCGGGUGCACACACACCCGCACGCACACACACGCACUCAUUCCAGCCUCUGCUACUGACCUUUGCCUCGAACAGCAAUAACUCACCACAUAAAUGAACAAUCAACGGAAAUACCUUAAAAUAAAAUCCAUCCUUUCUAACGAAGCAUUUCGUCCUCUCGGCUCGACAAUAACCUUUCCAUAAGGAACGAAAGCUGUCAGCGAAAUGGCCAGCUCUUGUGGGGACGGUGAUGGGGGCAGGAGAAAAAAAAAAA